AGAGUUUGAUCAUGGCUCAGAUUGAACGCUGGCGGCAGGCCUAACACAUGCAAGUCGAACGGUAACAGGAAGAAGCUUGCUUCUUUGCUGACGAGUGGCGGACGGGUGAGUAAUGUCUGGGAAACUGCCUGAUGGAGGGGGAUAACUACUGGAAACGGUAGCUAAUACCGCAUAACGUCGCAAGACCAAAGAGGGGGACCUUCGGGCCUCUUGCCAUCGGAUGUGCCCAGAUGGGAUUAGCUUGUUGGUGGGGUAACGGCUCACCAAGGCGACGAUCCCUAGCUGGUCUGAGAGGAUGACCAGCCACACUGGAACUGAGACACGGUCCAGACUCCUACGGGAGGCAGCAGUGGGGAAUAUUGCACAAUGGGCGCAAGCCUGAUGCAGCCAUGCCGCGUGUAUGAAGAAGGCCUUCGGGUUGUAAAGUACUUUCAGCGGGGAGGAAGGGAGUAAAGUUAAUACCUUUGCUCAUUGACGUUACCCGCAGAAGAAGCACCGGCUAACUCCGUGCCAGCAGCCGCGGUAAUACGGAGGGUGCAAGCGUUAAUCGGAAUUACUGGGCGUAAAGCGCACGCAGGCGGUUUGUUAAGUCAGAUGUGAAAUCCCCGGGCUCAACCUGGGAACUGCAUCUGAUACUGGCAAGCUUGAGUCUCGUAGAGGGGGGUAGAAUUCCAGGUGUAGCGGUGAAAUGCGUAGAGAUCUGGAGGAAUACCGGUGGCGAAGGCGGCCCCCUGGACGAAGACUGACGCUCAGGUGCGAAAGCGUGGGGAGCAAACAGGAUUAGAUACCCUGGUAGUCCACGCCGUAAACGAUGUCGACUUGGAGGUUGUGCCCUUGAGGCGUGGCUUCCGGAGCUAACGCGUUAAGUCGACCGCCUGGGGAGUACGGCCGCAAGGUUAAAACUCAAAUGAAUUGACGGGGGCCCGCACAAGCGGUGGAGCAUGUGGUUUAAUUCGAUGCAACGCGAAGAACCUUACCUGGUCUUGACAUCCACAGAACUUUCCAGAGAUGGAUUGGUGCCUUCGGGAACUGUGAGACAGGUGCUGCAUGGCUGUCGUCAGCUCGUGUUGUGAAAUGUUGGGUUAAGUCCCGCAACGAGCGCAACCCUUAUCCUUUGUUGCCAGCGGUCCGGCCGGGAACUCAAAGGAGACUGCCAGUGAUAAACUGGAGGAAGGUGGGGAUGACGUCAAGUCAUCAUGGCCCUUACGACCAGGGCUACACACGUGCUACAAUGGCGCAUACAAAGAGAAGCGACCUCGCGAGAGCAAGCGGACCUCAUAAAGUGCGUCGUAGUCCGGAUUGGAGUCUGCAACUCGACUCCAUGAAGUCGGAAUCGCUAGUAAUCGUGGAUCAGAAUGCCACGGUGAAUACGUUCCCGGGCCUUGUACACACCGCCCGUCACACCAUGGGAUGGGUUGCAAAAGAGUAGGUAGCUUAACCUUCGGGAGGGCGCUUACCACUUUGUGAUUCAUGACUGGGGUGAAGUCGUAACAAGGUAACCGUAGGGGAACCUGCGGUUGGAUCACCU
rnacentral:rRNA from 1 species